GCUUGCCUGAAAUGUCUGACGUGCUUCGUUUUUGAACCUUCAUGACAUAAAAGGGAGCUACGGGUUGGCGGAAUACGACCAUGUCCCUCAGGGGGAAAGGUCUAAGACCGACACAGGGCACCCACCUGGCAGAAUGCUAGGUGUCAAAAAGAAGCGGGGCAUUUUAGGCUUUUU
rnacentral:other from 1 species